GUGUUUCUCCCUAAUCAGCCUCUCAAAACCAUUAAACCAGUGAGUUUUAAUUUGUUUUCUCCUUUCUAAUUAAUUCAGGCAGUUAAGCUUAUUGUUAGUUUUAAUAAAUUUUGUUGGGUGAUGAAUUCUGGUUUAGGUUUAAUAAAUUUAAGAUUGUUAAAUUUGUUUAUGUUCGCAUUCUCUCCAUCGAAAUCUUUAAAUUACCUGCCCAGUUUUUGUCUUUUGAGAAUGAUUAAUGACUCUGACUUGAUGAAAUCUA
rnacentral:lncRNA from 1 species